rnacentral:rRNA from 1 species
GAUGAACGCUGGCGGCGUGCCUAAUACAUGCAAGUCGAGCGAACAGACGAGGAGCUUGCUCCUCUGACGUUAGCGGCGGACGGGUGAGUAACACGUGGAUAACCUACAUAUAAGACUGGGAUAACUUCGGGAAACCGGAGCUAAUACCGGAUAAUAUAUUGAACCGCAUGGUUCAAUAGUGAAAGACGGUUUUGCUGUCACUUAUAGAUGGAUCCGCGCCGCAUUAGCUAGUUGGUAAGGUAACGGCUUACCAAGGCGACGAUGAGUAGGCGACCUGAGAGGGUGAGCGGCCACUCGGACACUGAGACGCGGUCCAGACUCCUACGGGAGGCAGCAGUAGGGAAUCUUCCGCAAUGGGCGAACGCCUGACAGAGCCACGCCGCGUGAGUGAUGAAGGUCUUCGGAUCGUAAAACUCUGUUAUUAGGGAAAAACAAAUGUGUAAGUAACUAUGCACGUCUUGACGGUACCUAAUCAGAGAGCCACGGCUCACUACG